rnacentral:rRNA from 1 species
ACGAACUUGUACGAUAUGCCUUUUGGCUUAUUUGUUGGAGUAAACAAUCACUUCCAGAGUAUUAUAUUUGGCGGUGUCAUGAUGCGAGACGAGAAGGUCGAAAGUUUCAAAUGGGUGUUCAAGGAGUUUAUCAGAAUGGUUGGUGGGAAGGCUCCACUAACCAUACUAACCGACCAAGCGCGUGCUAUGGAGUUGGCAAUUAAAGCUGAACUACCUGACACAACUCACCGGUGGUGCAAGUGGCAUGUUCUUCGGAAGGCGAAGGAGAGCCUUGGAAUACUCUAUGGCAAGAAAUCAGAGUUCAAGACGGACUUCCACAUGCUUGUUCACCAUGUGUUGACGGUGGAAGAAUUUGAGACUGGGUGGAGUGAUAUGCUAACAAAGUAUGGUUUGCAGAAGCAUCCAUUCCUGACUCAGGUUUAUGAAGUGCGGAAGAUGUGGGCAAAACCUUACUUCAUGGGUGUGUUCUGUGCCAAGAUGACUAUUACGCAGAGGAGUGAAAGUGCAAAUCACCUACUGAAGGGAUACAUCCCGCCUGGUUGCCCAAUGCAUCUGUUUGUUAAGCAGUUUGAGAAAAUACAGUUCGAUCGCGAGUCUGAGGAGAGUUAUCAGGAAAAGAGGACAUCGAUAGCCGGAAUUAUUUUGAAGGGGAACUUCCCCCUUGGAUGGCACGCAAGCAGAAUAUACACCAGAACUAUGUUUGAGCAGUUUGGA